CAGAGGGUGCGAGCGUUGUUCGGAAUUACUGGGCGUAAAGCGCGCGCAGGCGGCUUUUAAGUCCACUGGUCAAAUGCCGGGCUCAACCCCGUGCCCGCCAGGGAUACUGGAGAGCUGGAGACAUGUAGAGGCAAGCGGAAUUCCGGGUGUAGCGGUGGAAUGCGUAGAGAUCCGGAAGAACACCGGAGGCGAAGGCGGCUUGCUGGGCAUGAUCUGACGCUGAGGCGCGAAAGCGUGGGAGCAAACAGGAUU
rnacentral:rRNA from 1 species